UACGGGGGGAGCAAGCGUUGUUCGGAAUUACUGGGCGUAAAGGGUUCGUAGGUGGCCACUUAAGUCAGACGUGAAAUCCCUCAGCUUAACUGGGGAACUGCGUCUGAUACUGGGUGGCUUGAGUGCAGGAGAGGGAUGCGGAAUUCCAGGUGUAGCGGUGAAAUGCGUAGAUAUCAGGAGGAACACCGGUGGCGAAGGCGGGUCUCUGGGCCGAUACUGACGCUGAGGAGCGAAAGCGUGGGGAGCGAACAGG
rnacentral:rRNA from 1 species